GGGUCUAAUAUGGGGGCCACUGAAGGACCGUUCACGUCGCGGUCCCUGUCAGGUGUUUUUGCUCUUGGGAAUCCUUCA
rnacentral:ribozyme from 1 species